AAGAGGCAGAUCAAGUUCAUGACUUACAACGUCUGGUGCCGCGAGGACGUUGUCGUCCACAGGAGGAUGAAGGCCAUCGGCGACCACGUUCGGGAACAUUCGCCGGACGUGAUUUUCUUCCAGGAGGUCACGCCGUACAUCAACUCGAUCUUCGAGAGCUUCGCAUGGUGGAAAUCCUACUACUGCUCACCGGUGCCCCCAGAAGAUCAAACGGGGAACCGCCACUUCUGCUUGAUGCUGAGCAAGCUUCGUCUGCAGGGCUACGCGCGCUGGAAGUUCGGCACUUCGCCGACGGGGAAGUGCUACCUGGAGGCCGACAUUACCCCUGGACCGGCUUCUUCAACGAAGCGGAUACACAUCGCCACGACCCAGCUCGAAUGCCCUGUGCCCCCGGAGUCGAUGCACCUCCGGGAGCGCUACAUGCAGGCAAAGCACGCGGUCUCCUCGUUGAGUAGCGCGGACAACGUUGUGCUCGGCGGCGACAUGAGCUGGGAUGAUGACGCCGACUUGCCAUUCCCCCUCCCCACUGGCUGGUGCGACGCCUGGGAAAAACGACACGUCGAACUCGGUUGGACUUAUGAUAGUUUCUGGGUGGAAAACCUCGGGGAGUUCAAUGGCCACGUAGUCCAUGAACCAUGGACCAAGAAGCGGUCAGACCGAUUUGUGUGCAAGCUGCAAGACUACACGCUGAAGACAAUACAGCUGAUCGAUGGGGGUCAGGGUUUUGGAGGUAUUGGACCUUUUGGUAGUAUUCGUUAUACGAACUACAGGACGGGCAUCCUCUCAGACGUGGAGCUAAGGCCGAGUUGUCACCGCGGGUUGGUCCUCACAAUCGUCCCCAAAUAA
rnacentral:rRNA from 1 species